CCUACGGGUGGCAGCAGUAGGGAAUCUUCCACAAUGGACGAAAGUCUGAUGGAGCAACGCCGCGUGAGUGAAGAAGGGUUUCGGCUCGUAAAGCUCUGUUGGUAGUGAAGAAAGAUAGAGGUAGGAAAUGGCCUUUAUUUGACGGUACUUACAUAGAAAGUCACGGCUAACUACGUGCCAGCAGCCGCGGUAAUACGUAGGUGGCAAGCGUUGUCCGGAUUUAUUGGGCGUAAAGCGAGUGCAGGCGGUUCAAUAAGUCUGAUGUGAAAGCCCUCGGCUCAACCGGAGAAAUGCAUCCGAAACGGUUGAACUAGAGUGCAGAAGAGGAGAGUGGAACUGCAGGGGUAGCGGUGGAAUGCGUAGAUAUAUGGAAGAACACCAGUGGCGAAGGCGGCUCUCUGGCCUGCAACUGACGCUGAGGCUCGAAAGCAUGGGUAGCGAACAGGAUUAGAUACCCGUGUAGUC
rnacentral:rRNA from 1 species